UAUAUACUCGCACAAAUCGUUAGUAAGAAACAAAAUAGCUUAUCCAAAUGAAACCAAACGGAAUAAUGUCAUUUGUUAUCUUUUUUUGUUUAUAUUUAAUAGAAUCUGCGAAUUCCCAAUCAACUUACGUGGGUACUGUGGGCAGAGUAACAUCCGAUAAGCGUUUCAUAUCCUGGACGCAAAUGGCUCCAGGACAGAAGCACUUAUCAGUUCAUCUUACAGAACCCGUGUUACCAAACUGCGUCCAUGUGGGUACUGAAGUAGAAGCCAGAGAUACUGUCCCAUAUUCCGAAGUUGUGGUAAGCCCAUACGCAUUAUGUAUUGUUGCUGUCGACCGUACAACACAUAACAAUGGCACUUGUUUUGUGAAAACUAGUGUAUACUGCGCGGACAAGAAACCAAUAUAUGACUAGGACAAGUGUUUCAUUUAAAUACACUCUGAUACACUUACACACAUAAUUUGUCUCUCAUAAAGUUUUUAAUACCAUAUCUUUUUUCUAAAAUUAAUUUG